CUGCCAGCGCCCUUUUCAAGCGGUGCGGAUAAGCAGCACGCUUUCUCGUUUUUCCUUGUUGCGACGUACACAACCUAGACAUACGAAUGGAAGCCGGGGAACGUGACGUUUUCAUCGCAGCACAAUCAUCAGAGUAGCCACCGGGAUUUAUUGUUUAAGAUAUGGAGUUAUACCGGGAAUGCGCAGAGUAUUCCACAGAAAACGCAACCUGUAACGAUGAGUUUAUGCGUUUAUGUAUAAAGAUAACGAAGCGGGCGAUAUGGAGGAUGUGGAAAUUGUGGUGCAUUUGUUUCGGUUUUUUCCCGAAUUUCGCAGGUACGUUGUACAAAGUGGGACGCCGUAGCCAGAAUUGCUCAGAAGAAGGGGAUAAACGGGCAGCAGCUCGUUGUGGUUAAUAAUAUUGAAAAUCCUGAGAUGAUUUAUCCUGGACAAAAUUUGAUCGUGCAGUUAUAACAAUUGCUCCUACACGCCACGCGAGAACGAAGCCACGACAAAGUGUCCCUGCCGGACGUCCAAUCCCACCUUGGCUGCCGGAGAUUCUUCUCCGGCCACGGAAAUUACACUUCUGGAUGACACCGCAGAGGAGAAGGGGAGUCUGAACGAUGCCGGAGGGGCAUCCGAUCAAGGAAAAACAACUGGAAACGAAGAAAAGCGGACGUACACACUGGCCGAGGUCGGUGCCUUUGUUGUUGUGGCAUUCGCUUUUGGCUGCGCAAUCACCGGCUUGGUUGUGGCGUGUUGUAUCCGUCGCCAUAAAAAGAAAAGGCGACUGCAUCCAGACGCACGUCAACCAGCAGCAAAUCGAAUGCGCAUGAAAGGAAUUCCAACGGACGUGUAAAAGAAAUGAAUGUUUUUCUUCUCCAAUAUGGAAGUAGCCAGUUUUUAAUUAAUUAUGCCUAACUGACUUUUUGUCGCAAAUAACAGCAACAACAGAAAAUAAUUAUCAAUUGUAUUUGCUAAAUUAUUCAUUAUUAUAAUAAUUAAUAGAUGACUGGUAAAUCAUAAUCCCUACAAUUUAACUCAUAAUACCAAUAGUUUUGGAAGACAGAUAGACCGCAUAU